GACGAACGCUGGCGGCGUGCUUAACACAUGCAAGUCGAACGGUAAGGCCCUUCGGGUACGACGAGUGGCGAACGGGUGAGUAACACGUGGGUGAUCUGCCCUGCACUUCGGGAUAAGCUUGGGAAACUGGGUCUAAUACCGGAUAGGACCACGGUCUGCAUGGAUUGUGGUGGAAAGCUUUUGCGGUGUGGGAUGGGCCCGCGGCCUAUCAGCUUGUUGGUGGGGUGAUGGCCUACCAAGGCGACGACGGGUAGCCGGCCUGAGAGGGUGUCCGGCCACACUGGGACUGAGAUACGGCCCAGACUCCUACGGGAGGCAGCAGUGGGGAAUAUUGCGCAAUGGGCGAAAGCCUGACGCAGCGACGCCGCGUGAGGGACGAAGGUCUUCGGAUUGUAAACCUCUUUCAGCAGGGACGAAGCGAAAGUGACUGUACCUGCAGAAGAAGCACCGGCUAACUACGUGCCAGCAGCCGCGGUAAGGAGCUGUCGU
rnacentral:rRNA from 1 species